UUCGCCAUGAUCCAUUAAACAUUCUAAUUUUCAAAUUGUUUUGAUUUGUUUAAUUUCAAUAGCAGUAUCAGUGUUAAAAAAUGAUAAGUAUGAAUCGUUUCUUUGUACUUAUUAUAUUGUGGAUGCAAAUUUUAACACAUGAAGUGGAGACAGCGGCGUGUGGUGGGGCAAUCCGGUCGCACUACGGUGAAAUAACCAGUCCAAACUACCCUUCCAACUAACCGGAAAACAAAAAUUGCAUCUGGAACAUCACAGGGCCUCCUGGGUCCAGGCUAAUGCUGCAUUUUGUUGACUUUCAAGUGGCUCAAUCCACGAAUUGUAAUACUGAUUUUGUUCAGAUGUAUUUCGAUGGCAGCUCCACAGACAGGUUAUGUGGUGGAUUAAAUCGCUGGAAGAGAUGGCUAACAAAAACAAACCGUUUCGACAUAUUUUUCAAAUCUGGAUACGGUAGCAAUACUGAAAGGGGUUUUCGCUUAUUAUGG